rnacentral:rRNA from 1 species
CCCUAAAAGUUUUUCUUGAUUUAAGUUGUAUAGAUUAAAAUGUUAGUUUGGCUGGGGUAGUUUUUUUAUAUUUACUGAGAUUUAAUAAAGCUUAAAAGGUGGAUGGUCCUUAAAAUUAAGAUAAUUAGAGUGAGUUACUUUAGGGAUAACAGCGUAAUAACUUUGGGGAGGUCAUAUUUAUGGGGUUGAUUGCGACCUCGAUGUUGAAUUAAAAUUACAGUGACGGCGCAGAAU